AGAAUCAACGCUGGCGGCGUGCCUAACACAUGCAAGUCGCACGAGAAAGGGACUUCGGUCCUGAGUACAGUGGCGCACGGGUGAGUAACACGUGAAUCAUCUACCUCCGAGUGGGGAAUAACCUAGAGAAAUCUGGGCUAAUACCGCAUAACACUUACGAGUCAAAGCAGCAAUGCGCUUGGAGAGGAGUUCGCGGCAGAUUAGUUAGUUGGCGGGGUAACGGCCCACCAAGACGAUGAUCUGUA
rnacentral:rRNA from 1 species